GGAAGGGUGGCGGAGAGGUCUAACGCGCCGCACUUGAAAUGCGGAGUGGGGCAACCCACCGUGAGUUCGAAUCUCACCCCUUCCG
rnacentral:tRNA from 1 species